CAUACAGGGUUGGUAUGGUUUUGUCAGGUGUUGACAAUGUGAAGAUAGAGGAUUGAUAUGUCCUGGUUUUUACUCAUUUCUAACAUAGUUUCAGAAUGGUUUUUAGAGUCUUUCUAGUCUUUUUCGUAUGUUUUGAGUCAUUUCAGGUGCACUUACACAUUUGGGAGCUAUGAAGCAUAAUAUAGAAUUUUGGAGGC
rnacentral:sRNA from 1 species